ensembl:lncRNA
GGAAUGAGGGGGGCCAAAGAAAAUAGCCUACCACAGCAUGAAUCAUAAUACCCAUAAAACCUACCGUUCAAACACGGAAAUGGUUAUAAUCGUUUUUCCACCAUUCAUUUUAUCCCUGCAUUGUAGAUUUUAGAAACACUUCAAAUAAGUGUUUCGCGUAGGCUUACGUUUUGAUAACCAUGUAAAUGUCUAUCGUUAAAGGUGACGUUUAUCAAUAUAUUCGCCUGUAUUUAGCCCCCCAAAAAUGAAAAGCUAAUUAGCUGCUAAUGUGGCUAUCAUACAGAACUCAUACAGAACUCAGCGUCAUGUCACUCAUCAGGGUCAUGAUAAUCUGGAUGUGUCUGCCGAAUAUAGACAAAAAGUAAGAAUCUCUGGAUUAACUAUCUAAUGUUAGCUAAAUUGGCUAAAGUUAUUUAAAUGGACAAUUAUGUGAAUUACAUUUCUUAUAUAACUAGCUAACAUUAGCUUUCUAUUUGUCUAGCCAUUUAAAUUAAUAAGAAAUUCAUAAAAACAAGUUACAUUUUAUUUGGCUUUUAUAAACCACCAGUUUUACUUGCUAGGUAACUAGGGCUACGUGUUCUUGAUGGCUAGGUGUAUUUUAGUCUGUUUUUUUAGAUUUCAGAGAUUGAUUUGUAUUGAUUUUAUUUAACCUUUUAUUUAACUAGUCAAAUCAGUUAAGAACACAUUCUUAUUUACGAUGACGGUCUAACCUGGGCGACGCUGGGCCAAAAGUGCGCUGCCCUAUGGGACUCCAAAUUACGGCCGGUUGUGAUACAGCCUGAAAUCAAACCAGUGUCAGUAGUGACGCCUCUAGCACUGAGAUGCAGCGCCAGACAGCUGCACCACUCGGGACAAUUGAUACGUUUGCUGUUACCCUCUGGACAGCAGAUCAUUAGCCUUCCCUUACACGUGAGGACCUCGAUUUGAACACCGCAACUGAGAUGGACUGACGUUGACGGACACACGCUGAGACCACGAGUAUGACUGGACAUGGGAUGGAUAUUUAUGAAGACCUAAAAGGGGUGCAAAAGCACACCAACUUAUUUUUUAUUCCAUGGCCAACCAUCUCGGGCUGAAAGCCUCAACCUAAUGGGUUACAACUGACAAUUUCUCAUUAGAUAUUGCGUCUUACACAGAUCACAGAUUAGGGUAUAUAUUCCAUGUCAGACUUUUCAAUGCCACCCUGAAGGUUGCCAGGGCAAGCUGUUUCUUGUACAUACAUUCAAUUGUAAAAUGCACAAACAUUUUAGUAAAAUGAGUAUUCUUGAGUGAAUAACAAAAUCCCACUUUUGUAUGUCCAAUAGGUUAUGAAAAUUUAACAUGACCUUAUGGUGAGUGACAUUUAAUGAAGUGAGAUGACUGGAUUAAUAUUUACAUUCAAGUUCUCUCUGUACACAAUACAAUUGCUUGAAAAAUCAACCGCAAUAUGAAUGAAGAAAAGAUCCAUGGAAGGGUGAUCCAAAGGGGGUUGGUUGUAUCUACACAGUAAAAAACAUAUAUUUGGCUUUCUAUUCGUGCAUAUCUAUUCCGUGCUCUUAAACUGAGCUCAUAUCUCCCAUGGUCUUAACUUAAAUAGAUAAAGUUUUGACCAGUUCAAAUCCAGGCUGAAACUCCCCAUAAAAGAGUCUUUAUCAACAGGAUCAUAUUGCCCUAUCAGGUUAGAAUGUUGUUUAAACAAGAGUAAAACUGGGUUAAAUGAGACCUAUUCUUAGUUUGAGGAACAGCACUUCAUGUAAGUCCAUCUCUCGUGAAGUAUUAGCUGCAUUAUCUGCUGUAUGGAAACUAUUCCACAAUGGGUGGUACCACAUACACUGAACAAAAAUAUAAACACAACAUGUGUUGGUCCCAUGUUUCAUGAGCUGAAAUAAAAGAUCCCAGAAAUUGUCCAUGCGCAGAAAGCUUAUUUCUCUCAAAUGUUGUGCACAGAUUUGUUUACAUCCCUGUUAGUGAGCAUUUCUCCUUUGCCAAGAUUAUCUGACUGAUUUCCUCACAUGAACUGUAACUCAGUAAAAUCUUUGAAAUGGUUGCGUUUAUAUUUUUGUUCAGUAUAGUUCUGCAGUAGACUUGUCAUGCUAUAAAAACACCUGUUGC